UGCCAGACUCCUACGGGAGGCAGCAGUGGGGGAUAUUGCACAAUGGGGGAAACCCUGAUGCAGCGACGCCGCGUGGGCGAAGAAGUAUUUCGGUAUGUAAAGCCCUAUCAGCAGGGAAGAAGAAAUGACGGUACCUGAGUAAGAAGCACCGGCUAAAUACGUGCCAGCAGCCGCGGUAAUACGUAGGGGGCAAGCGUUAUCCGGAUUUACUGGGUGUAAAGGGAGCGUAGGCGGCAGGGCAAGCCUGAUGUGAAAGCCCGGGGCUCAACCCCGGGACUGCAUUGGGAACUGCCCCGCUCGAGUGCCGGAGGGGCAGGCGGAAUUCCUGGUGUAGCGGUGAAAUGCGUAGAUAUCAGGAGGAACACCGGUGGCGAAGGCGGCCUGCUGGACUGCGACUGACGUUGAGGCCCGAAAGCGUGGGGAGCAAACAGGAUUAGAUACCCGUGUAC
rnacentral:rRNA from 1 species